UGUAUGAACGAUGUGCUGAAGUAGAAAUGUUAUGUAUCUGUGACAGCCACUUUGCAAGAACGACUGGCUCCCAUGAUGACAUUUCCAAAGAUGAUUUUUCCGGAGAUGACAUCUCUUCGGAUGCAACUUCAAGAAAUAGUACUUCUGGGACCUCUGAGUGAUGGUGAGAGAUCCUUCAUGCUGAGAUGUACUCAGAACAUCGUAAAGUCCCCAGCUGUCUCUUUGGAGGAUAUUUUCAUGGAAGAAGAAAGUAUUGAUGAUGCCCAUUCGUCUUCGGAGGAUGGUGAAGAAGAAAAUCCCGGAUUUCGAAACCGAAUAAAAACAAUGAUGUUUUCGAUGGUGAUGUUGGCAAUUCCGAUCCUUUGAGCACUUUAGAGACCACUCCAUGUCAUCUUGUUUCUGUCAGUCGUAGAAACAUCACUUCUGAAACCCUGGC